UACGAAGGGGGCUAGCGUUGCUCGGAUUUACUGGGCGUAAAGGGCGCGUAGGCGGAUGACCAAGUUGGGGGUGAAAUCCCGGGGCUCAACCCCGGAAUGGCCUUCGAGACUGGUGGUCUUGAGUUCGAGAGAGGUGAGUGGAAUUCCGAGUGUAGAGGUGAAAUUCGUAGAUAUUCGGAGGAACACCAGUGGCGAAGGCGGCUCACUGGCUCGACACUGACGCUGAGGUGCGAAAGCGUGGGGAGCAAACAGG
rnacentral:rRNA from 1 species